ACAUAAAGAAUUUAAUAAAUACAAUCCACAGUUUAAAAAAAUCUAGGAAAAAAAAAAGAGCACAUAGGGAUCUUGGAAAAGCAUCUGGUGUAUAAACUGCAGGACCUGUGUUGCAUCUCUAUUACCCACUUUUAAAAAGCCUGGCAUGGAUGGACUUAUUUGUAACCCUAGCUCAAGCCAAAUGAAGGUUCUCAAAACUCACUGGGAAACUAGUCAAUUGGUCAGUAGGUUCAGUGAAAGACAAGCAACUGUGGAAGGUGCCCUGUACCAACCUAUAAACUAUAUCAUAUACACACACAUACAUGCAAAUACCAUAUAAACACACAAACUAUAUCAUACAUACAUACACACAUAUAUACACACUUGCAUACACCACACACACACACACACACAUACACACACACCUUAGAGACCCCCCAGGCCAGCCACUGUCUGCCGUAUUCAGCUUAUUCAGCCCAAAUGUGCUCAGUCUUUCAUGCAUGUGAUUAGCGUGAUUCUUAUCGGUCUGCAAGAUCCACUUCUAUUCAAAUCUACUUAUUUGUUCUAAUUUCCUUUGCAAGUGUCAGAGACCCUAACCUAAAUAAGACGGUCAAAAAGAAAAGUUAUAGCUCCAAUACGUACGGACUCUGGGGCUCAAGUGUCAUGUUAUCAAAAUACGUGUCCUCAAGGCUCGUUCUGUGCUGUCUUAACAUGCGUGCUUCUAUGACCCUCCUAAGACAGAGUGGAUCAGAGAGCCCCAGAGUUAGACUCUAGGAUCUGUGUUUUAGAACAAAACAAUGUCAUAGCAGUGUGUCAUAAAGAUUAAAUGUUGGUUACAGGCUUUACUUGUGUGACAACUUAAUAACAAAUUUACUGCCAGCAGAGAUGGUCCUUCUGACUCAUUCAUAGCCACGAUCUUACAAAAUGGUCAUGAAGCAAGUGCUGUGUGAAGUCUGGGAGGAACUGGGGAUACUGAGACCCUGGUUCAUGUUGGGGUCAAGAGGUAUUUGAGAAAUGAUCUGAUCCACUAUGGGAAAGUCUGGGUUGGAGGAAGUAUAUAGUUCAAAGUCUUGUAGCAACCAUGUCCAAAUGUGAUAAUGAAUAAAUUAAAGUUAAGAUGCAAGUUUAUAUGGUACUCCAAAUAAUUCUGUUUUCAGUCGCUCCUUGAAUGAACAUGCAGAGGAUAAAUAUAUGUGCACUCGACCAAAUGAGAAUAUAGCACAGGAAAAUAUCUAUUUCAAGGCUGGAGAUGAUGCUCUUUUGAGAGAGUGCUGGAACUAAGGGCAUGGUGGCAAACAUCUGUUGUCUCACCUUUUAGGAGGUGGGGACAGGAGGAUCAGAAGGUCAAGGUUAUCCUCUGCUACACACUGAGUUUGAGGUCAGUCUAGAUUACAUGAAACAAGACGUGUGUGUGUGUGUGUGGGUUUGUGUGUGUGUGUGUGUGUGUGUGUGUGUGUGUGUGUUUGUGCUCACUGAUAAUGCAGCAACCCAAUCAUUAAUUUGAUUUUGGUUUGCUUCUGUUCCUCACAUUCUUCGUGAAGCAGUUUUUGCAUAUGUGCUCUUGGCUCCACUCUUCCUGUUUGAGUCGUUUGGCUGCCAGCUUGUCUGGACUCAGAACUCCACAACACAAACUAGCAGACAAGAGAAGGUUUUCCCUUCUAUCACUUGGUGAAAAACUAACCCACAUUCUGGCUUGAGUAACAUUGAUCAAACUUGGCCAUGGCUCUCCUUCUCUAUUACAUCCACAGGGGCUGAGGGGGCCAGAUACUCUGAUUGGCCAUGUUUGACUGCUUGACUCACUUCUUGGGAGCUAAAGGGUGCCAGCCACCUCUGAAUCACACACAGACUCAGACUCAGAACAGGGCAGAACCAUUGCUGCCCAGAAAGUCUGACUACCACUGUCACUCAAAAAGAGACAGGCUGCUGAACCACAGAUGCCAGUGAAGAAACCAGCAGCACCCUCCCCUGGGUGUGCAUCUCCCUCAAGAAGGUGACUGACAGAAGGUACAAAGAACGCAGACAUGUACAUGGUGGGCCAGUAAGUAAACAGAGACCAGGGUUGUAGAUGAGGAAGAUGUCAGGAGAUGUUGACAAAUGAGAGUCUGAGUCUAGAAAGAUCUUAAGUUUCUGUGAACUGUAAAAAGAGGGAGUGAGAGAGACUUGAAGAUACUUCCGGGUAGUCUGUUUAUACAGUUUGCUUCCCUUGAAAACAGAAAUUAUGCCUCAUUUUUGUUUCCCUGGAAUCCACCAAGACACCUGAUGUCUGUGAGCGUUCACUAAAGGCUCGGUGAAUUUGUUAAUAUUUCCUCAUUAGCAUUCGAUCUGAAUUCCACCGGGGAUCUGAAAAUGAAGUAUUUAACUUCAUUACUCUGAACAGGAAACUAGGACAGAGAGGUUUGGACUCUAUCACCACAGUGCCAGCUAAGGCUGAUGCCAAGAUAACAGACACUGGCAGGUCGAUCUAAAUGCAAGCCAGAUAUGGAAUGCCACAAAUCUGAGCCUCACUUUAUUAGCAAUAAAAUGAGACUAAAGGGAAGCUUUAAAACCGGCUAACAUUUCUUCUUACAGUGGCACAAACAUCAGAUUUUCUGCUAAUUAUUUCAGAUGUUGAGUGGUAAAAGGUUAUUUUACAACGUUGUUAAAUAAAUACAUACUUAGGGGAAAUGAGGGAAAACAGUUUGUUUGGUGAGUUGCUAAGUAACACCACACAUGCCAGGAACUCUUUGGAGUUCCUAUGGAAGGUGGAGACGUCCGAACCAACAGGAACUCAGUUUGUGUCUGUCUCACUAGUUUUCACUGGAAAAUUAAUAAAUAAACAUUCAAAUUAACAGAGGAGCAUUGAACAUAUGUUGGACGUAUUUGUGCCAAAUCUAAGUAGACUCUCCUCAAGGUUGCUGUUCACAAGUUUCUCUGAUGUCUACAGAGUACCCAGACUAUGUGUGCGAUUUGUGCAGUGUGUCCCCAGAAAAGCCCACGGCAGAGAUGAAAUGAAACCAAACAACAUCCAUGAUAUACACAACAUGCCUCACAGUAUCCAAUUACUGAAAUAUGUGAUACAAAGGACUGUGGUAGCUAGGCAAAGAAAACCACAACGUGUUAUGUCUUACUUUAUGUAAGGAAAACUUUAUGAGAAGUAGCGUGUUUUAAAUGACUCUUUAAAGGAAGUAACUCUGUUCACCGGGAGAACAUCUGACAGCCUUGGGCCUUGCUUGAGUUAGUUGCUCUGCAAAGGAUAAACCCAGUAAAGUAAAAGUAAAAACAGAGCGGGCGGCAUUAGCAAACCAGAAAGAACGAAGAGUUGGACAGCUGGGCUCAUGACUAAAGUUAAGCCAGAUUCAGCAUAAAGGAACCCAGUGCUUUUUGAAUUAUGGUGCAUUAAAAUUGCAGAUUUUCUUAAAAUUACUUUUCUUCCUUUUUUAAAAAAAAUUUAUUCAUGUUAUACAUAUAUAUAUACAUAUAUAUAUAUAUGAAUGCUUUAGUUACAUUCAUAUCUGCACAGCCGAAGAUGGUUAUAAACAUUAUAGACAGCUUCGAGCCACCAUGUGGUUGCUGGGAAUUGAACUCAGGAGCCCUGGAAGAGGAAUAAGUGUUCUUAACCAUUGAGCCAUCUCUCCAGCUCCCAAAUUACUUUUCUUUUCUUUUUUUUCAAAAUUACUUUUCUUGCAAGUGAAAAUGAGGCAAAUACACAUCCAACUCCAAGUUAUUUGUUUAGAUACAUUUUAAACCAACUUAAAUUACUUACUUGUUUAGACACAUUUUAACCAUCUGAAUUACUUUUGGGGGUGGUGAUAUCUUAGGAAGAAUGUUUCAUAUUUGUUUUAAGUAAUUAACACUGUUAAAAAAAAAGUCCUACUAUCACUACUAACUUUGUGAUUUGUUUAUCAGCAUCAACUGAGCCUUCUAUGAUGUGGUCUUACUGUUUUUCUUAACCACUUCAACCUAGGGAUUCCCUCUUUGCUGGAAACUUCCAUAUUAGUUAGAUGCUACAUGAUAACUCAUGCUAUUAUUUAUAUUCACGGGGACAAUCUCUCCAACAAGAACACAACUCCAUGAAGAAUCUGCCUAAAUUGAAUUGAUUUUUUUCCAACCCAUCCAAACAAGAAUCACAUUUUAUUGUGUAAGUAAAAACACAGAAUUGGACAUUCAAGGUAAAUAUAAAGUAAUUGAGUGAAUUCGAUUGCUCUGUUUCUUCCUUGGCUGAGUCACUUUUUCCCCCCACUGAUGCGGCACUGUUUAAAGCAAAGACUUCACACAUACUAGGAAGAGAGGCCAAGGACAAAUAAAAAAGGAACAUAUUCUUCAGUGCCCAGUUGUCUUCUAGUUGGAAAAAAAAUAACCCAAAAGGCAAGCAAACAACUCUCACCCCCAUUCCAAAGAGCCAGGAAAGGUCCAGCUCUAUGACAAAAGAUUCUUAAGCUUCAGUUGUUGCUUAACACACAAGGACUAGAUUUUGCCCAUUUCAGAGAUCGUGUCUUGCUCCUAGAUAUGUGUCUCAUGCACACUGGAUUCUCAAGAAGUAUUUUCUCUACAAUUUCGAGUUUGCUACAGCCCCCCUGUUCUCAACAAACACAUCGUCAAGCUAAGGCGGAGAUGAACAAAGAAUAAUUAUGGUGGAUCAAAAAAUAAUUGAUAUCUUUCAUUAAUACAAUUAAUCAUAUUAAUAGGAUUAACAUAAUAUGAUUGAAACAUAAACAUGAAUGUAGCACUAAUAGCACAUGGCAUUUACCGUGUGACGUUUUCCAAGUUCAUACACCAAAAUCCCUGUCUGUCACAUGAUAAUAAAAAUCCCUGUCUGUCUGUCACAUGAUAAUAAAAGGAGGUGGGGGUCUUUAGAGGGCGAUUAGUCAUAGCGAUGGAUGUCUUAUACAGCCAAAGGAGGUUUGUGCUGGUUAAUUUUCCAGUGCUGUGACAAAAUGCCUGAGGUAAGACAAAAGGGUGAAAAGGUUAUUUUGGAUCACAGUCACAGAACGUCCGUUCAGUCUGUGGUUUACUUGCUCUGUGCAUUCAGACUUGUGAGUGUGAAUGUCACUGGAGCUUCCACAGGUGGUGGAACAAGGCUACCCACGGUGAGCACAAGGUGGGCGGGAGGGAAGAGGAGCAAAGGAGAUGGGAGGAAUGACCUGGAUCCCAAUAUUCCCUUCCAAGAGGUAUGUCUCCAAUGACCUACCUCUACUUGGCUCCCACCUCACAAAGGGUUCACUGCUUUAGAACAGGAUCAGCUGGGACUGAUCCUUCAACACACAACCAUCUCCCACCCAAAUCCUAAUGCAGCCUUUUGUUCCUUCACCACAUGAAGAUAAAUCUAAACAGUGCCACAUGGCUCAGAAAAGACUUGUAACACACACCCCAACUCUGCUGGCACCGGGCUCUUGAAACUUCUGCUUCCAGAGCUGGGAGAAACAGACGUUUAUAAGCCACCUGGCCACGGCAUUUUUUUGUUGCAGCAGCCUGAAGGGUUGGUCUUAGACAUCUGUAUCAAUUCAAUGUAUCUUCACAAGCCUAUGAGGCAAGCUGUGGGAAGCCGUCCCCACAUUUGCCGUUGCAAGAUGGCGCUGACAUCCUGUGUUCUAAGUGGUAAACAAAUAAUCUGCGCAUGUGCCAAGGGUAGUUCUCCACUCCAUGUGCUCUGCCUUCCCCCUGACGACAACUCGGUCGAUGGGCUGCAGCCAAUCAGGGAGUGACACGUCCUAGGUGAAGGAUAAUUCUCCUUAAUAGGGACGGGGUUUCGCGCUUGCUCUCUUGGUCUCUUGCGCUCUUGCUCCUGAAGAUGUAAGCAAUAAAGUUUUGCCACAGAAGAUUCCAGUUUGCUGCGUCUUUCCUGGCCGGUCACGAACGCGUGUAAGAGCAAGCGUUCAUCAUUUUCGUUUCCACAGGCACAAAUGAAGUAACUUGCCCUAGGUCAUGCAGUUGUCUGCUUCUAUGGUCCUGAUAAUGAAUUAUGUAUACACAGCCUGGAGCACCACUGACAAUUCUUCUAGGUCUGGAAUUCUGGAUGAUGUCAUCACUGCAAUUAUAAAACCCAGGCUACAAGAUGCAUUUUAUGAAAACUCUUUUAUCUGAAACAUAACUGUUGCUUCUCAAACUUUGGGUGCCCAGAAGCCUACAAGGAGACUCAGAAUUCCAGAGCAAAAUUCCUAGAAUUUCUGAGUCAGUAAGAGUGAUGUCGAGGACCCGACGAGUCAAUGCAUAAAACCUAUUUUCUGACCCUGAGUCCGUGCUCCCUCUUCAUACGCCCCUCCUCUGGAAUAUGCCUGCUAAGCAAUUUUUCUGUUAGUGCAGCACAGGUGGCUCAGCUCAGAAUACUGCUUCUCUAGACACCUCUUACUAGACAGACAUCUCACCCUUUCUAGUGGGAGACUUCAGCCUCUUUCUUUUCUUGAGGUCUGGGUCUUUUCUUGAGGCCAGGGUCCUUAUUACUCUGCUUAACUUGCUCAAUUAUUAAUUUUACACACAGGAAACGUAUAAGAGAUUAAUGAAUAAUGAUAAGGAGAGUGAUAGAUGAAUGAUAGGGAGAUCAUUCUAGAAAAGCAUUGUAGUGCCCACAAAGCCUAAAUGAGUCAUGUACCCCUCAGAUUCAUAUGUUGAAUUCCCAAGCCCUGGCAUCUCAGCAUAUGACUGUAUGUGGUCAGAGGUCUUUCUAAAAGUAACUAAAUUUAAAUCAUACUAUUAAGGUUGUCUAUAACCACUACGAUGACAAUGAUGGUGAUGAUGACGAUGACCACGAAGAUGAGGAGGAAGAGGAGGAUGAAACAUUUAAGGGAGGACAAUGGGGAGACACAGGCAAAACGUGCCAUAUGCAAGCCAAGACAGGCCUCGGAAAAGGUCAACCAACUUUUUUUUUUUUUUUGAGAAAAUGUAUUUGCAUUAUUGAACACAGUGUGUGGUAAGUUAUUAUAACAAGCCUGGCAAACUAAUAUAGGAUCGGACCAUGCACAUUUGCUAAACUGCAGAAAUAAAAUAUUACCACUUAAGCUAGAAUUCCAUAGAUUCUUUAAUGUACCAACAUGGCUGACCCCUUAUUGCAAACAGUGGAGACAUGGAGAAUAUGGGUGGGUGGGUAGGAGGGAAAUGGGGGAGGGAUACCACCCAUAGGCUCCCAAUCCAGUCCUAUCCCCAAGGCUAAACAGAGAGAGACCAGUUUAGUAUUAGAAUGGCAGAAGAGAUAUGGAAGUGACAGAAAUCAUUUGCUCUGCUGUGGAAUGACAAUGUUUGCAGUUAGAGUAAAAAGCAUUAGAGAACCCCUUGAGGACAGAAAUGACAAGAAGACCCCCGCGGGACUUGACGAGGAGGUGGAUGAGGACAUCCUAUGAGAAGCGUCAGAAGUGAGGGCAGAGAUGCACAGAUCUUGGCCAGGAAUUUAACUUUUAAAAGAGAUGGGAAAACCAUGGAAAAUCGAAUUUGGAGUAGGCUUUGCCUGACCCAACUGCUGUCUUAAGUUGGCUGUGCCAGCUGGGGCGUAGCGAGGAUGGAGAUCUAGACCUAACGCCUGAGGCAGGAUUCUGUUACUCAAGGGCUGGCCAGGAGCGGAAAUGAGGUAAUGGUGGAGGCAUCAGAAAGUUCCAAAAUCCAACCCUUGGAUGCCUCUAGAUGUCUGGAGAGUGGAGACAGGAAAUCAUCCAGUAAACACAGAAUCAAGGAGCUGAGGGUCACCAAAUGCAAGCCUUGCCGCCUUGGUGAUUUCUUUCUGGUUUUUAAACGAAGGGUGGAUUUCUUUGCCUUCCCUGAGAAUUCAGUUCAAGCUGGAUUUCACUAGUUCUUUCUAUCCCAACAAAAGAUCUCCAUCUUUACCCUCCUCCUUGCACCUUUGCAAACCCAGGGGGAGUAUGGACAGAGUCUAAGCACUAUCUUAAGGUCAUGCAGGCAUGGACACACCCAGGAGCCCCUUUCCCGACGAGCUGGCUGACCAAGCAAGCUACCCCGUAGGAAUGUGGGCACCGAUGGGGACCCUGGCUCUACUUGGAUCCCUGGCCGCUGGGGCCUUUUCGACGCGCCUAAGUCCAGUCCAGGCGAGGCCAGGGCCCGGGAGGCGGGCCGAGGGGGCGGGCGGAGGCGGGGAGCAGCAGGCCGACUCCGGGAAGAAAAGAACAUGGCUCCUGCGGCAGAGGGCGGCGGCACUCCCGGGCGCGCUGGGCGCCAGUGAGCGCCAUGGUUAACUCCAGACGCGUGCAGCCGCAGCCGCCCGGGGACGCGGGACGCUCGCCCGCGCCGCGAGCGUCCGGACCCGGGCGCCUGGUGGCGGGAGGCGCCGGCCUAGCUGUCCCCGGCGGCCUCGGGGAGCAGCGGGGCCUGGAGAUCGAGAUGGAGCGCAUCCGGCAGGCGGCCGCUCGGGAUCCCCCGGCCGGAGCCUCGGCCUCGCCGUCUCCUCCGCUUUCGUCCUGCUCCAGGCAAGCGUGGAGCCGCGACAACCCGGGCUUUGAGGCAGAGGAGGAUGACGACGACGACGAGGUGGAAGGAGAAGAAGGAGGGAUGGUGGUAGAGAUGGAUGUGGAGUGGCGCCCGGGCAGUCGGAGGUCGGCCUCCUCCUCGGCCGUGAGCUCGGUGGGCGCCCGCGGCCGAGGGCUCGGGAGCUACCGCGGCGCGGCUCACCUGAGCGGGAGGCGGCGCCGGCUAGAGGACCAGGGCGCGCAGUGUCCCAGCCCCGCGGGCGGCGGGGACCCGCUGCAUCGCCACCUCCCGCUGGAGGGCCAGCCACCCCGAGUGGCCUGGGCAGAGAGGCUGGUGCGAGGGCUGCGAGGUCUCUGGGGAACAAGACUCAUGGAAGAGAGCAACGCCAACCGAGAGAAGUACCUGAAAAGUGUGUUACGGGAGCUGGUCACUUACCUCUUUUUCCUCGUAGUCUUGUGCAUCUUGACCUACGGCAUGAUGAGCUCCAAUGUGUACUACUACACUCGGACACUGUCACAGCUAUUCAUAGACACCCCAGUGUCGAAAACAGAGAAAACCAACUUUAAAACUCUUUCUUCCAUGGAGGACUUCUGGAAGUUCACCGAAGGCUCCUUCCUGGAUGGGCUGUACUGGAAGGCACAGACCAGCAACCACACGCAAGCUGACAACCGAAGCUUUAUCUUCUAUGAGAACCUGCUGCUAGGAGUGCCGCGUCUACGCCAACUCCGAGUCAGAAACGGAUCCUGCUCCAUCCCUCAGGACCUGCGAGAUGAAAUUAAAGAGUGCUAUGACGUCUACUCCGUCAGCAGUGAGGACAGAGCUCCAUUUGGACCGCGGAAUGGAACUGCGUGGAUGUACACAAGUGAGAAGGAGCUGAAUGGGAGCAGUCACUGGGGGAUCAUUGCGUCGUACAGUGGAGCGGGUUACUACCUGGAUCUGUCCAGAACCAGGGAGGAGACAGCAGCCCAGCUUGCUGGCCUCAGGAGGAACUUCUGGCUGGACCGGGGCACGCGGGCAGCUUUUAUAGACUUCUCGGUGUAUAACGCAAACAUUAACCUGUUCUGUGUGGUCAGGUUAUUGGCGGAGUUCCCAGCAACGGGUGGCGUGGUACCCUCUUGGCAGUUUCAGCCUGUAAAACUGAUCCGCUAUGUCACAGCCUUUGAUUUCUUCCUGGCAGCCUGUGAGAUCAUCUUUUGUUUCUUUAUCAUUUACUAUGUGGUGGAAGAGAUAUUGGAAAUUCGGAUUCACAGACUGAGCUAUUUCAGGAGUUUCUGGAAUUGUCUGGAUGUUGUGAUUGUCGUGUUAUCUGUAGUAGCUAUGGUGAUUAACAUUUACCGAAUGUCAAAUGCAGAGGGGCUGCUACAGUUUCUUGAAGAUCAAAAUUCUUUCCCCAACUUUGAGCAUGUGGCAUACUGGCAAAUACAGUUCAACAAUAUAAGUGCUGUCAUGGUAUUUUUGGUCUGGAUUAAGCUCUUCAAAUUCAUCAAUUUUAAUAGGACCAUGAGCCAGCUCUCCACAACCAUGUCUCGAUGUGCCAAAGACCUCUUCGGCUUCACCAUAAUGUUCUCCAUCAUCUUCUUGGCAUACGCACAGCUGGCAUACCUUGUCUUCGGCACCCAGGUCGAUGACUUCAGCACUUUCCAAGAAUGUAUAAUAUGUUCCUGGCGAUCAUCAAUGAUUCGUACUCUGAAGUGAAAUCCGAUCUGGCCCAGCAGAAAGCAGAAAUGGAACUCUCAGACCUUAUCAGAAAGGGCUGCCAAAAAGCACUGGUCAAACUAAAACUGAAAAGAAACACUGUAGAUGCCAUCUCAGAGAGUCUCCGGCAAGGUGGUGGCAAACUGAACUUUGAUGAGCUUCGGCAAGACCUGAAAGGGAAGGGCCAUACAGAUGCAGAGAUUGAGGCCAUAUUCACUAAAUAUGACCAGGAUGGCGACCAGGAACUGACCGAGCGUGAGCAUCAACAGAUGAGAGAUGACUUGGAGAAAGAGAGGGAGGACCUAGACUUGGAACACAGCUCUUUACCACGUCCGAUGAGCAGCAGAAGUUUCCCCAGAAGCCUGGAUGACUCCGAGGAGGAGGAUGACGAAGACAGUGGCCAUAGCUCCAGGAGGAGGGGAAGCAUCUCCAGUGGGGUUUCCUAUGAAGAGUUCCAAGUACUGGUGAGGCGCGUGGACCGCAUGGAGCACUCCAUUGGCAGCAUCGUUUCCAAGAUUGAUGCCGUGAUUGUCAAGCUGGAGAUCAUGGAGCGGGCCAAGCUGAAGAGACGAGAGGUGUUAGGACGGCUGCUGGAUGGCGUGGCUGAGGAUGCGCGACUGGGUCGGGACAGUGAGAUCCACAGGGAGCAGAUGGAGCGCCUGGUGCGGGAAGAGCUGGAGCGCUGGGAAUCGGAUGAUGCAGCUUCGCAAACAGGUCAUGGUGUAAGCACACAAGUGGGACUCGGUGGCCAGCCCCACCCCAGAAACCCGCGCCCUCCUUCCUCCCAGUCUGCAGAGGGCCUGGAAGGUGGAGGUGGAAAUGGAAGUGCCAACGUCCAUGCCUAAUAAUCCACACGUGUUUGUGUGUUCCUGAGACACCGAGAGGUGGCUGUCCAGUACGACAAUGAUAAGUUCGGUAUUUAUAUACCCCGGCUGCAUUAUGAUGCUGGUCUUUGUGACCAAUUGUUAUAAUUUUCUGCACUUUAAUUUAUUUUACGUAAACUUAAACCCGUGGUUCAAGGAAGGUUUGUCUUACUUUUCUCAUGUGAGAAAUCUAGGUGUAAAUAUUGAGUUCAGAAAGAAGAAAACUUUGAAAGUACGCUGAUUUGCUGCCCUGCCCGUGUCUUCAGGUGACAGUGUUUGGAAGUUAGAGAGCCUUCACUAGUCUCUGAGUUCGUGUGGAGCCACCACAGUCUGCUGCAUUAGUCCAGUGCGAGAUGCUAAGGAAAAACAUGACAUUUCAUUCCACUGAGGUAUAACUCGGAGCUUACUGCAUAUCUUUCUUCUAAGGAAGGAGUAGUAUUUCAGCAACCUUUCUGGGGUGCAGAGAAAGGAUAUGUAUGUAGCCACUGUGCUAAAAUGUGUGUGAACAGUUGAGAUAGAUGCUAAGCGCCAUACCAGUUUGUGGCACUAAGCAUAUCAUUUAAUUUUUGUGUUAUUUAGCUUUUGUUUCAGAUUUGGCAAGGAAAGCUCAAAAGAUAAAUUAUAAGAUAAAGUGUAGGAUUGGAGCCGGGCAGUGGUGGUGAACGCCUUUAAUCCCAACACUUGGGAGGCAGAGGCAGGUGGAUUUCUGAGUUCGAGGCCAGCCAGGGCUACACAGAGAAACCCUGUUUCGAAAACCCAAAAAAAUAGGUAGGAUUGGAAGGGGCCUUCAAUUCUUACUACAUUUGACUUUUCAAUUAUUUGUUAGCAUAGAAAUUUCUCUAUUUUUCUUUCCUAUGUGUCUCAUUUAUAACCAAAUUUAAUAUUAAAAAAACUAAUAAGACAAACACUGAAUAUUUUCACUGUGUAGUGAAAGUUUUAACUCAUCAAAUAUGUACAUGGGAAGCAGUAUUUUAAGAAAGUUUUGAGGUGCAUAAAAGCUCUGUAAAAGUAGAGGUCUGGUUUACGUUGUAUCUUGAAUAUUCUUAAUAUCUAGAAUAUUCUUAGUCAUAUAUCAGGAUGGAGUCAUAUAAUGCAAAUUUAGUUCAUUUUUAUGUGAGGGGCCUUGGGUAUUGUAGGUUUAUAUAUUUGCAGAAGAGAUCCACUAAAAGUUGACUAUCAGCAGUAAGAGAGGGUCUCACAAAAUUUAUAGGAGAAAUCUAUAUCUCAAUAUCAUUUUGGUUUUUGUGUCUGUCAAAGACAGGUUUUCACUAUAUACUCCUGGCCGGCCUGGAACUAACUGUGUAAACUAGGCUGCCCUCAGACUCCCAGAGAUCCACUGGCUCUCAGCCUCUUGAGUGCUGGGAUUAGGGCCAGUGUGACCACAGCAGUUGUUGAAUAACUUGGCCCUUUGAGAGCUAGGGGUCAGAAGAAACAAAGCCAAGCUGGUAGAGAAGCCAGAGGUAGAGAACAAGUAGAAGAGAAUCCUGGGCUUAGUACCGUAUUUGAAAUUCACAAGAAUUCAUUGACUUCCUAGAAUAUACCAAACCUCUCCAACCUCUAACAGACUGCUGAGUAGACAGGCCUUUUCUCGUCAGCUUCCACAGAAGCGAGGCACGCCAUGUUUCCCUGAUUCUGAUGGCUGCACAUCAAUCAUUUUCUUUUGAAUAUGCUACACUAAUUUUUUUUCCUUCCUAGGUAUUGGAUUUUGCAUUGCAGGGGUAUUAUUGUAUGUAUGUAUUUAUGUAUGCGUACUGUACUGUUACAAAGUGAACAAACUUCAACUUGAAGUGCAUUAAUUAUGUGGUAUCCAUGUGUAUCGACCAUGUGCCGUAUGCCUAUUAUGGUCACUAGAACAUCUUUUAUGAUGCUUAUUAUUACAGUGUUUCUCAUUUAACUUGUAAACUUUUGUAGAAUUCUCCUUUUUUUCCCUUUAGAUAUAAGUUCAUAUAUUUUUCUACUUUAGUCCUGUGAAGUUUAUCCCUAGUCACCUUCCUGGUAGUCUCCCCUCUGUUAAGGGUAUAGUUAAGAUUUCACAUAUACAAGGUUCUUUGGACAUCAACAAUUUCUUAACUGUAAUAAUGUGUACAUUACUUAAUAAAGACUUGACAUAGUA